GAUGAACGCUGGCGGCGUGCCUAAUACAUGCAAGUCGAGCGAACAGACGAGGAGCUUGCUCCUCUGACGUUAGCGGCGGACGGGUGAGUAACACGUGGAUAACCUACCUAUAAGACUGGGAUAACUUCGGGAAGCCGGAGCUAAUACCGGAUAAUAUAUUGAACCGCAUGGUUCAAUAGUGAAAGACGGUUUUGCUGUCACUUAUAGAUGGAUCCGCGCCGCAUUAGCUAGUUGGUAAGGUAACGGCUUACCAAGGCAACGAUGCGUAGCCGACCUGAGAGGGUGAUCGGCCACACUGGAACUGAGACACGGUCCAGACUCCUACGGGAGGCAGCAGUAGGGAAUCUUCCGCAAUGGGCGAAAGCCUGACGGAGCAACGCCGCGUGAGUGAUGAAGGUCUUCGGAUCGUAAAACUCUGCUAUUAGGGAAGAACAAAUGUGUAAGUAACUAUGCACGUCUUGACGGUACCUAAUCAGAAAGCCACGGCUAACUACGUG
rnacentral:rRNA from 1 species